rnacentral:rRNA from 1 species
CAGGCCUAACACAUGCAAGUCGAGCGCCCCGCAAGGGGAGCGGCAGACGGGUGAGUAACGCGUGGGAAUCUACCCUGAUCUGCGGAAUAGCUCCGGGAAACUGGAAUUAAUACCGCAUGUGCCCUGAGGGGCAAAGAUUUAUCGGUUCAGGAUGAGCCCGCGUCCGAUUAGCUAGUUGGUGGGGUAAUGGCCUACCAAGGCGACGAUCGGUAGCUGGUCUAAGAGGAUGAUCAGCCACAUUGGGACUGAGACACGGCCCAAACUCCUACGGGAGGCAGCAGUGGGGAAUAUUGGACAAUGGGCGCAAGCCUGAUCCAGCCAUGCCGCGUGAGUGAUGAAGGCCCUAGGGUUGUAAAGCUCUUUCAGUGGGGACGAUAAUGACGGUACCCACAGAAGAAGCCCCGGCUAACUUCGUGCCAGCAGCCGCGGUAAU